rnacentral:lncRNA from 1 species
UUUGCCUGGGUUUGCACGUGAUCCAGCAAACCACCCACCGACCCGUUGCCUCAUGUGAGACAUCCUCAGGGAACAGCAAGAAUUUUGAAGGUCCCUGAUAAGACAUCUUUGAGGUCAGGCAUAAAUCAUCACUUCACAUCUUGACGGCAAUGCAACGAAGACAAGUAUCUGUCUCUUUGGGUCUGUCUAACAAGGAGCAAAGCCUGGCCUCCCACCAGCAUCCAGACAAUAGUGGAUUCCCUCUCCAUAGAUGUCAAAAAAGAAACAGAUGCUCCCGCAGGUGAAAUGAGCUCUGGUCCACAAUGCAACGCAGGCUGUGCAGAAAAUCAAAGAGGAACCAACCCAGAAGUAUCCCCCAGGACAAAUCAUUAAGGGGGAAAAG